rnacentral:rRNA from 1 species
AUAGUGUUAUGAUAUGAAUCAUUAAUUUAUGAUUCAAAGGGAUUAUCAAGGAGCAUAAAAACUAAUUAUUUAAAGAGGGUGCAAAAUAAUAUAUUAUCUAAUGUAAUAUAUUAGAAACCUAAGGGAAACCUAAAAAUACAAACUAAGUGAACUGAAACAUCUAAGUAACUUAAGGAAAAUAAAUCAACAGAGAUCUGUUAAGUAGUGGUGAGCGAAAAACAGUGAGUCAAAAAAGUAAGUAAUAUAUCUCAAAAUCUAUGAAUAGAGUAGUUAACAACUACUAAGACUAAAUAAAAUAAUUAAGUAUAGUAAGUACUGUGAAGGAAAUAGUGUAAUUGGUAAUUCUAUUAGCACUCAUAAUAAUGUAAGUAGUUAUAAUGAGGUACCUUUUGUAUAAUGGGUCAGCAAGUUAUAAUAUAUUGCAAAAUGAAUAAUUAUAGAGAAAUCGAUUAUGUAAUAAUAUAAUAAAGUAAUAAAUUAUAGACCCGAAAGUAGAUGAUCUUAUUAUGGUAAGGUGACAUAUAUUAUUAAUAAUGAUAUAUUAGACCGAACAGGUUGAUGUUGCAAAAUCAUCUGAAUAACUGUGAUAAGUAUAGUGAAAGACAAAUCUGAUCUACAGAUAGCUGGUUUUCUACGAAAUAUAUUUAAGUAUAGCCAUUAUAAUAAAUAUUAAUAGGUACAGCAAUUAAACUUAAUAGGGAGUUUAAUAUUAAAUUUAUCUAUGAGUUUUAAUCUCGGAAUUAUUAAUUAUUAAUGAAUAAUGAGUCAGACUAUUUGUGAUAAGGUAAAUAGUCAAAAGGGAAACAGCCCAGAUUAUGUAUUAAGGUUCUAAAUAUAUAUUUAAGUGAAAUUAAGAUAUUAUUAAUAUUAUUCUAAUAGCGAGUGGGUUUAACAAUAAUCAUCUCUUAAAGUAAAUGUAACAAUUCACUAUGGUAAUACAUAUAUUAAUAUAUAUCAAUAAUUUAUUGGAUCUCAAAAUAUAAACCGAUAUACUAAAUAAUAUAUAUAUAUAUAUUAAUAUACAUAUAUAUAUACUAUGGUAGUAGAAUAUUUAAUGAAAAAUAUAUAUAUAAUAUAAUAAAUGAUAUAUAUCUAAUAUCUAUAUAUAUCAUAAUAUAUAAUUAAUUAAAUUAAGAAUGCUGACAUGAGUAACGAUAAAAAGGAAUAAAUCCUUUUCACUUGAAACUUAAGGUUUUACUAUAAAAGUACGGCCCUUAAAUAUAUACUGAAAAGUUAAUAUGAUAGGAGAAUCUAAAUUAUUAGUAUAUAAAUAUAUAUAUAUAAUAAGUAUUAUAUUAUUAAUAAUAUAAUAUAUUUAUAACAUAUAUGUUCUAGAAAAGGCUAAUAAGUUACCGUAAUGAAUACCGACACAGGUAAGUAUAGUAGAAUAUAUGACAGUGAAUGAGAGAAUAUGCUCUAAUGAACUCGGCAAAUAUAUGUUCUAAGGUAUGUCCAUAUGAACAACUAUAUAUAUAAUUAUUAUUAUAAUAAUAGUAAUAAAAAUAUAAUAAUAAAAUAGUAAUAAUAAGGUUGUACAACUGUUUACUAAAAACACAGCACUUUGCUAAAAUGUAUAAAUUAUAGUAUAAGGUGUGCACUCUGCUCCAUGAUAUAAAUAUAUAACUAUAUAUGUUAUAACUAACAUAUAAAUUAAAAUUUUAUUAAAUAGCAGCCUUAUUCUGAGGGUUCGAAGGUAGCGAAAUCACUUGUCCGCUAAAUACGGUCCAGCAUGAAUGACGAAAUGAUACAACAACUGUAUCGGAGCAUAACUCAGUGAAAUUGAAUUUGCAGUGAAGAUGCUGUAUACCUAUAGUAUGACAGAAAGACCCUAUGCAGCUUUACUAUAAUUAAUUAUUUAAUAUUAUCAUAUUUAUUAAAAAAGUUUAUGAUUAAUAUAGAACUACUUAUUAUUAAAUAUGUAAUAUAUUAUCCUAAUAAUUAUAAUAGAUAUAUAUUCUUAUAAUGUAAAUUUAGGUGACAGUGAUUAAUUGGUAGUUUUGAUGGGGAGUCAGUUUCAGCAAUAGUAUCUGAAUACGUCUAUAUAUAUAAAUAUAUAUAAAUAUAUAUAUAAUACAAUAUAUCCAUAGGAUAUAUAAUUAAAAUAUAUGAUUAAUAAUAUAUUAAUCUAUUAAUAGAUUUAAUGAAUAUAGUAAUAAUUAUUCUAUAAAAUAUAAAAUAUAUAUAUAUAAAUAUAAAUAAGUAUAAUAAUAUAACUAUGUUAUAAUUACAAUAUUAACAAAUAGAGUAAGUACGUAAGUAUAGUAUAAUGAACAUAUAAAUCACAUUGAAAAGUUUAUAGAUAACGAAUAAAAGUUACGCUAGGGAUAACAGGCUAAUAUAACGAAAGAGUUGAAAUCGUAAGUUAUGUUUGGCACCUCGAUGUCGACUCAACCUAUCCUCUUGGAUGAAGCACUUAAGAAGGGUUCGGCUGUUCGCCGAUUAAAAGGUUACGUGAGUUGGGUUAAGUACGUCUUAAGACAGUACGGUUCUUAUCAACUAUAGGCAAUUAAUUGAUUUACAUAAUUAUUCUAGUACGAAAGGAUUGAAUAGUUUUAACCUAUGGUGUUUAUAUUGAAAUAUCUAUAUAAUAUAGUUAUUUCAUAGUAUAUUAGCUAAGUUAAAAAUAAUAAAUAUUGAAUGUAUAUUAAAUAUGAAGUAAAUGUAAAUAAAUUAAUAUAUUAAAUAUUAGACUAAUAUUUAUAUAGGGUAUAAUUAUAUAAUAUAAUAUAUAUAUACUAUAAAUAUAUAUAUAUUAAUAAUAUUAUAAUAUAAUGAAUA